rnacentral:ncRNA from 1 species
GUGGAGAAAACCGAAAAUCCAAAAUAACAGAGUAGGUA